UGUUCUCAUGCAAAGACUUGCAAUGGUUCUGUCCCUUUGAAAAACGCCAUGUACUUCGCACGUCUUAUCAUGAUAGUAAUCGUCGCGCUUCGAGGCACUUGCGGCGACGAGCCAGUAUCGCAGAAACCGCCUGAAUUAACUGUUGGGGAAGGGAAGACCGUACCGCUCAACUGCAACUAUUCUGCUAUAUACGAUGACAGCACUGUUUUCUGGUACAUUCAGUUUCCCAGGAGAGCGCCGAAAUUUCUAAUAAAGAAACUCCCCGGUGGUUUCGAGGAACGAUCCCCCGAAUUGCCAGACAGAUUUUCUGUUCUACUAGACAAAGUUAAUCGGCAUGUCACUCUAACCAUCGCUGGGGCGCUUAUCUCCGAUGCCGCAAUGUAUCUUUGUGCAAUUAAGCCCACAUUGGUUUAUAACAGGUGCUUCCGGCGCGGAGUCAGUAUCCCAGAAACCGUCUGA